rnacentral:rRNA from 1 species
UACGUAGGGUGCGAGCGUUAAUCGGAAUUACUGGGCGUAAAGCGUGCGCAGGCGGUUUUGUAAGCCAGAUGUGAAAUCCCCGGGCUUAACCUGGGAAUGGCAUUUGGGACUGCAAGGCUUGAGUGCGGCAGAGGGAGGUGGAAUUCCACGUGUAGCAGUGAAAUGCGUAGAGAUGUGGAGGAACACCGAUGGCGAAGGCAGCCUCCUGGGCCAGCACUGACGCUCAUGCACGAAAGCGUGGGGAGCAAACAGG